ACGGAGGGUGCAAGCGUUAAUCGGAAUCACUGGGCGUAAAGCGCACGUAGGCUGUCGGGUAAGUCAGACGUGAAAGCCCUCGGCUCAACCGGGGAACUGCGUUUGAAACUGCUCGACUUGAGUGCCGGAGAGGGUGGCGGAAUUCCAGGUGUAGGAGUGAAAUCCGUAGAUAUCUGGAGGAACACCGGUGGCGAAGGCGGCCACCUGGACGGCAACUGACGCUGAGGUGCGAAAGCGUGGGGAGCAAACAG
rnacentral:rRNA from 1 species